ACGUUCAGUGCACCUGCACGUGACCCCAAAAUUUAGUCGGGAAGCUGGGUGUUUCACCUCCAGUGAAAGCAAGUGGGAGUGAUAGGAAAGGCUUGGAAAAAGAUCGAGCAGGGGAAGAGAGAGAUGUCGGCAUCUUCUCUCCCUCCUGCAUAAGACCCUUCCAGUAUGUAAUCGCUGACCUGGAGAAAUAAUGCUCGAGUACAGAGUACGGGGCAGAGUUCCAGGUGUCACUGUGCACCCAACCCCCACGAGCUUUGUGAUUCAUCGCAAACGGCCGAUCCGGGAGGAUGAGUAAACUCCGCAAGUACAGUCGUGUCACAGGACAUAAGUGACCAUGGUGCUCAAUAGUUUGGAUAAGAUGAUUCAACUCCAGAAAAACACGGCUAACAUCAGGAAUAUCUGUGUCUUGGCUCAUGUUGACCAUGGAAAAACUACUCUGGCUGACUGUCUUAUAUCUAGCAAUGGCAUCAUCUCCAGUCGCCUGGCAGGCAAGUUAAGGUACAUGGACAGCAGAGAGGAUGAACAUGUCCGAGGGAUCACGAUGAAAUCCAGUGCCAUUUCACUACAUUAUGCAAAAGGGUAGCUUUUACCGUUUCUGAAAAUGACCUCUCCAACGGCAUGGCUUCAUCAGUAGUGACGUGUAGAUCUCCACUUCACCCUCCCUCUGGCAUGGCUACUUUCUGGAUUUUAGCAUCAUCCAGAACUGUUCAUCUUUGACAUUUCAAAUUCAAACACUCCCUUCUCCACAAUCUUUACUCUUCCCAGCUCUCUUGCCUGCGUAGCAAGCUUUAUUCAGUCAUUUCUUAGAAGCUCUCUUACUCAGGGUUGCCUGAGGAAGAGUACUGUAUACUUGCACAACUGAAAAUGUGUGUCUUCCAAUUUCAUUUCAGGUGAGGAGGAGUACCUGAUUAAUCUGAUAGACUCUCCAGGACAUGUGGAUUUCUCCUCAGAAGUAUCGACGGCUGUUUGCAUUUGUGAUGGGUGCAUUAUUGUGGAUGCUGUGGAAGGGGUCUGUCCGCAGGUAGUGGAUUGUAACAUGGAAAUAUUUAACUGCUUAAAGAAGGUGUGGGGAGAGAGGAGGAACUGACUGCCGAUGACUCUGCCACUUGGGACAUUUCACUGACCAUCAGAAAGCUGGUUUUACAUUUCACAUUCAGUAGUGUUCUGGUCUG